AACAGCCUGGUUGAGUUGAAGGUGCCCCUGCUCAUGGCAGGGGGUUAGAUCUAGACGAUCUUUGAGGUCCGUUCCAACCCAAACCAUUCU